UAAGAUCCUGGUGAAAAAUGAAGCUGGUGAUCAGUUUGUCAUUAAAAAGUUGAGCGCUAACCAGGACGAAUCAAAGUUUCUCCCCCAUCUCAAUCACCCACACAUCGUCCAGCACAAGGAAUUUAUCAAAGAUUCUGACUGUCUGUAUCUUGUACUGGAGCACUGUGAAGGCGGAGAUCUCGCUCAGAAAAUCAAAAACAAAAAGGAGGA